UACGUAGGGGGCAAGCGUUGUCCGGAUUUAUUGGGCGUAAAGAGCGUGUAGGCGGUUUGGUAGGUCCGCUGUGAAAACUCGAGGCUCAACCUCGAGACGCCGGUGGAAACCAUCAGGCUAGAGUCCGGAAGAGGAGAGUGGAAUUCCUGGUGUAGCGGUGAAAUGCGCAGAUAUCAGGAAGAACACCCGUGGCUAAGGCGGCUCUCUGGGACGGUACUGACGCUGAGACGCGAAAGCUAGGGGAGCAAACAGG
rnacentral:rRNA from 1 species